GCGAGGUAAGAGCUCACCGGCGUGCGGGAGACCGCACGGCCCUGUAAACCCUAUCCGAGGCAACACCGACCGGAGGAGCUUGCUCGGCUGAUUCUCCAACGGGUGGCUGGAGCCCUGUGGCAACACAGGGCGUAGAUAGAUAGUUGCCUUUAAUGACAGAACCCGGCUUACAGAUUCGCUUGUGUU
rnacentral:RNase_P_RNA from 1 species